rnacentral:rRNA from 1 species
CCUACGGGAGGCAGCAGUGGGGAAUUUUGGACAAUGGGGGCAACCCUGAUCCAGCCAUGCCGCGUGCGGGAAGAAGGCCUUCGGGUUGUAAACCGCUUUUGUCCGGGAAGAAAUGACUCCCCCUAAUACGGGGGGUUCCUGACGGUACCGGAAGAAUAAGCACCGGCUAACUACGUGCCAGCAGCCGCGGUAAU